ensembl:snRNA U6 U6 spliceosomal RNA
AUGCUCGCUUCGACAGCACGUAUACUAACAUUGGAACAAUACAGAGAAGAUUAGCAUGCCCCUUGUGCAAGGAGGACACACCAAUUUGUGAAGCAUUCCAUAUUUUU